CAGUAUAUAUUUUAAUUAAAAUAUUAAUUUUGGAGAUUAAUGAUAAUAUGAAAAAAUAUUUAUACUGA
rnacentral:tRNA from 1 species